rnacentral:rRNA from 1 species
UCUCGCCAGAGGCAUUGCUGGGUAGCUAAAUGCGGAAGAGAUAAGUGCUGAAAGCAUCUAAGCACGAAACUUGCCAAGAGAUGAGUCAUCCCUGACUUUAAGUCAGUAAGGGUUGUUGUAGACUACGACGUAGAUAGGUUGGGUGUGUAAGUGUAGUGAUACAUUGAGCUAACCAAUACUAAUUGCCCGAGAGGCUUAACCAUACAACGCUCAAG